GAAGUCACGGGGUGACUCCAAGCAGGGCCCCCUUUGCAUUCAGCCUGCCCUUCUCUCAGCCCAGUCAUGCUGGCACCAGAUGAGCUGCUGCAGACUCAUGAGGAAAGAGUCAAGACAGGCUCUUUGAAACCUCCCUCUCCAGGCAUGCCACGUGAACAGAAGUUCCAGGAGACAGAAGAGAGGGGUGACAAGAAAUUGCCCUGAUCAAACUGCCACAGUGACACACCAUGAAAAACACACAGAGAUUGGCUCUGUGGCAAUGGCAUCAUACCCAGGUCACAGGUGCAAAUUUGGUGCAGCAAAGCAGCAUUAAAUAUUUUGCAUUAAAUUGAUGUUAAUUUGC
rnacentral:lncRNA from 1 species